AGAAUUCUGUGCACUGGCCACUGUGAUGGAAACCAAUGGGCCGGGAGUGCUUUGAGUUUAUUAGUAAUUGUUCUGCCAAAGUUGGUGUUUGUAUGACGAGCGUGUAAACCUGUCAGAUAAUCAGCAGAGGUCCAAGUCGCCUCCGCGCUGCGCUCGCGAGGAGGUGAAACUUUAAAGUAAAAUCUGCUGUUCUGCUAUUGCAGUGAUCUGUUGGCAGUCACAAGUCAGCAACACCUCUGCUCUAUUAUUUGACACUUUACAUCUAAAAAGUCUUCUCUUUCUAUUUAUGUAACCCAUAGUCUUUGAAGAGUAUGGAAAAUGGCAUUUCUCUCUGACCUCUAGAAGUUCAAGUGUCAUGGGAAAAAGAAAAAAAAACAGGAACCCCCCCUUUACUCUUAUGGACCUCAUUUCAAUAUACUGUUUACAGUUUGACGGAAUUGUAUAAUUUAAUAUUUCUCUUGUACUGUAGUUUAUAUUUAUUUACAGAUUUUUUUUGUACUGUGUGAUUUGAAUUUUUUGUUCCUUGCUAUGAUCAAUGUUUUAUGUAGUAGAGCACUUAUGAUCACAAAUUAAGGUUUUUGGUUUGAUUGCACUACAUUAAUUUUUUUAAUGCAGUUCUGAUUUUUUGACUGGACUAAAUAAGCUGUGUCUUAAUGUAUGUGAUAAGUACUUUUAAAUUUUUAUUUCAUGUGGUCCAUUUAUUUUUUGCAUUGUAUGUCAAAGCGCUAAUUCUCUUGUUGUGCAUGUGUAAGAUUUAAUGGCUCCAUUGUAUUAUUUGACCAUGUCAUUUUGGAAACACAUUCCCAGCUGUAACGUUGUGUAUGGUAGUUUUCACUGGAUGCUAGACUUUUCAAAACCACUAUUCUUCUAAUAAAUUUUGUUGUGAAAAACU